rnacentral:rRNA from 1 species
AUUGAACGCUGGCGGCAGGCCUAACACAUGCAAGUCGGGCGAGAGGCGGACGGGUGAGUAAUGUAUGGGGAUCUGCCUGAUGGCGGGGGAUAACUAAUGGAAACGGUAGAUAAUACCGCAUACCAUCAGAUGGACACAUAUGGGUUUAGCUAGUAGGUGGGGUAACGGCUUACCUAGGCUACGAUCCCUAGCUGGUCUGAGAGGAUGAUCAGCCAAACUGGUACGGAGACACGGCCCAGACUCCUACGGGAGGCAGCAGUGGGGAAUAUUGCACAAUGGGCGCAAUCCUGAUGCAGCCAUGCCGCGUGUAUGAAGAAGGCCUUCGGGUUGUAAAGUACUUUCAGUCGGGAGGCGUUACCGACAGAAGAAGCACCGGCUAACUCCGUGCCAGCCGCCGCGGUAAUUC